rnacentral:piRNA from 1 species
UCCAUUCAGCACCUUCAUCCGUUCAGCAGG